rnacentral:rRNA from 1 species
GGGGAAUCUUCGGCAAUGGACGGAAGUCUGACCGAGCAACGCCGCGUGAGUGAAGAAGGUUUUCGGAUCGUAAAGCUCUGUUGUAAGAGAAGAACGAGUGUGAGAGUGGAAAGUUCACACUGUGACGGUAUCUUACCAGAAAGGGACGGCUAACUACGUGCCAGCAGCCGCGGUAAUACGUAGGUCCCGAGCGUUGUCCGGAUUUAUUGGGCGUAAAGCGAGCGCAGGCGGUUAGAUAAGUCUGAAGUUAAAGGCUGUGGCUUAACCAUAGUACGCUUUGGAAACUGUUUAACUUGAGUGCAAGAGGGGAGAGUGGAAUUCCAUGUGUAGCGGUGAAAUGCGUAGAUAUAUGGAGGAACACCGGUGGCGAAAGCGGCUCUCUGGCUUGUAACUGACGCUGAGGCUCGAAAGCGUGGGGAGCAAACAGGAUUAGAUACCCUGGUAGUCCACGCCGUAAACGAUGAGUGCUAGGUGUUAGACCCUUUCCGGGGUUUAGUGCCGCAGCUAACGCAUUAAGCACUCCGCCUGGGGAGUACGACCGCAAGGUUG